rnacentral:lncRNA from 1 species
AUAUGGCUUUCAACGGUCACAAGUAUUUCUCUGAAAUAAAAUCAUUUUAUUGUGUUUGUAGAUGGAGGAUCGGAAAAAAAACUUUAUGAGAAAAUACAUCUCAGAAUGACUGCCGUUAAAAAUUACCAAGGAUGGAGGCGGAUGCAUGAUACAGGAGCUGAAAAAAAGAGCAACAUGUCCAGACCUGCAAAAUAUUUACAAGCAUAGACUGAAGAAGUGUGAAGCAUACUGAAGUGAUGUGUGUGUGUGUUCCACAGCUGUAAAUUAUGGAUAGAAAAGCAGUGCACUGCAGUGAAUUGCACAGGCCAAGAUGUCUCAAGUUGUACAUUCAAACAGAAGUGAUGGGUGACAGGCUUUUACUAGCAACUUGUGAAGAAAAAUCAGGUAGCUAGAGCAGAGACCAGAUGCUGUGAUGGUGGUGAUGCAAACAGGGAGAGACGUUUUACAAUUGAAAUGAUAGACUCUGAUAUUUACAUGUAUUGUUUUGUAUGAUGAACUUUGCCCGUACAAGUGGCUAUGCCCGUAAAAGAGGCACACUUUUGCUUAUUGUGUUUGUUGUAUUUCAGUAUAAAAAGUAAUGGUAAAGGUCUCCGAGAUGAAGGUUUAGUGUUGUUGUCUGUAUUAUGAGUCCAAUAGCCUGUCCUGUGUGUCCGCAAUUAAUACUUUGUCAGCUUGUUUGCUAAGUAUGCUAUCCCAAUGAAAUGUUAAGAGACACUGGCAUUCACCAGUGUGAGUAAACAUGUUCACUCAUGCUGGUAGUGCCUUUGUGUAUUAAGUGUACUUAGUAGGCAAGUGUGGUCUAUCACAUCUCGGAGAUACAUAUAAUUAGAUCAAGUAAGGGUCGUUGACAAAGAUAAAAUGAGACAUGUUAUACUAUUUAACUAUACUUUAUGAGAUACUUUAUAAGGUAGAUGGUCCUUCAAAAUUUCAACACUUUUGAACAACAAAAUUCUUGAUUUCUGACUGAUCAUUUUUCUUGAACGUCUCAUUUUAUCUUUGUCACCGAGCCCUUCAUAUAUCCAACCGCAGGCUACUGCAUCGAAAUUGCAGUCAAAUCUCUGGUACUCUUGGUAUUGAAAAUAUAUAGCACUUACAAAGUAUAGUCUCAAUGCGAUAACUUGAACAUUAUGUAAAAUCAUUACAAAAUCCUAGAGAUGUCUCUUAUCAAACUAUCGAGUAAGUUGUAAUGCAAAAUCAUUACAAGACUAGUAUCAAGCUAUCGGAAUGUCAAAACAUGACCAUAAGGCUAUAUCAGAGAUUUGAAAUGCUUUUCGAUGCAACAGUAUGAUGUUGGAAAUUUAUCCUACAUCCAACCGUAAUCCUACAUGAUGGUAUAAUUGUAUCAUAGUCCUUACCUGAUGUUGAGCAGUUUUUCCUCCAUUGUUUAGAUUUCUGAUCGGCACGGGCAAAGCGUUAAUGCUGGUUGUAACGACCCGACUCCGUAUUUGGCGAGGCAGCGAAGCCGGUAUGGGGAAUUACUUUGCCCGACGCUGCGAGGAUUCAUGGACAGGGAUUAAAUGCUCUUGCCCCGCCAAAGGGAAGCACGACGUUCCUCUAAUGAGAUGUGCGAAUACACUCUUUGGUUGCCUAACUGUCCGGACGCCGCAGUUAGAUGUACGGGGAAGGGCAUCGAAUGUCUAUCCAUGCUACCGAUCCCUAACAUUCUAGUGUUUGAUCUGGCAAUGAAAUCGUAUUACAC